rnacentral:piRNA from 1 species
UAAUCCCAGCACUUUGGGAGACUGUGGCCAGC